GAAGAUUCGUUCAUCUUCCUCAAGAAAAACAGGACCAUUCUCUCGACCUCAGCCACUCUCUCAACCUCUCUCUAAAUGUGAAACCGUGGCUUCAAAAUAAACCAACAAGAACGCUCACCUUUGUAGCUUGUUCUUCAGGAAGCUCUUCUUUGAUAUGAACCUUCUGCUCCCACGAACUCUUACACUUUGUCAAUCGCUGGUGGAGGAGGAGGCGGCUUUUUCGGUGGAAAAUCACCAGGGUUUUUUCGCUACAGUAGCCUUCCAAUUUUCUAGGGUUUUUCUCCUUCCCCGCUGUCUCACCUUCUCUCUCCCUCCCCAACAGUAUCCGCCCCCUCCUUUUAUACUCACCAUCCUAGGGUUUCUGAUUUAGCUAUAGAGAUCAAAAGGGUAUCCCUUUGGAAGUCCUUUAGGGUGCUCACAACUUGUUUGUCUCAUUUGGUAUUUGAUCUGGAACAGCGAAACGCGAGCAAAUGAAUGGAAAGUGAGUCUUCGCAAUUCAUUGAGGUUCGGUGUUGCUUACGACGAAUGCAGAUGUGGACAUAAUCGCAGCAGCAGCAACUAAUUCUAACAAAACGCAUCAGCCAUAUUGCUUAAGAGGAAGCCUUGAUUCGGAAGCUGGUUGAUAAGCAGAGUUUCUAUUUGGCAUGGGCAUUAUGUAUACGCUUGAAGAACCUAUAGUCAUCGGAGGAGGCAAUUCCCUAGUGCCAAUUAGGAAACAGUUUAUCUUGGCUUGGCAUUGUAGAUGGGGUUAACAGACUAUAGAUUAAAUUCCAUGUCAGAUAUUUGACACAUGAGCGAGAUCAGCGUGCGACACUAUCUGCCCAGUUUGACGGUUGUAUCUGAGAGGUCAUUUGAUUUGAAGCACAACUGAACCAUGCAUCCCAAACAGAACCAACAUGCCAUAGAAGACUCUUGACACUGAAUGAAUGAUCUUAUUCUCGCUCUUCUUCCUUUCCAAGUACUGAUUCUUGUUGAUCUAGUUUUGAUAGUGACCAUUGUGAUUUGGUUUAAUUUUGCAGGGCCACAAUUGUGUUUGUUAUAGUGACCAAGCGUGUUGGAAUGCAUCAAGACCCCUUCAUCAUUAGGUUUAAAAUUCUGGAUAGGCUGCAAUGUCUCUGGAUGGUAUUUUGUAAGUCAUGCGCACAUGGAAUAGAUUGUUGGAUAAGGCUCUCGCUUGCAACUGCCGGAGAAUCAAACAAACUACUUUUGAAACAAGGACUAAUGACGGCUGCGUGUCGGUGUUUGAAUGUCUUAUUUUUUGUCCUUGCUGCUGAUAUUGUUGUGGUUAAUAUCGUGCAAGAGGUUUGUUGGAAGAAAAUGAAUCAGUUGUUGAAUCAAAGGCUGGAACUCUGGGGAGAGAAGCUUAUCAGCCUCGUCCAUAACCAACAUUGAGCAAUGCUUAAGAAUGCAAACACCCUUCUUAGUAAGAUCCAGUAUCCUUCCUGGGGUACCGACAAGCAGGAACGCAAAAUGCAGCUGUUAUUAUACAUGAUAAUGGAUGAUAGAACUGCAAAAAGGGUUGCAUCUGUUGCCUCUUCAAGUGCCAGGCUUCUAGUAGCACCAGCAGCCAUUUCUUGAGAGAGGAUUGACGCCGGUGAGUUUGCAUUGCAGGAGGUCCAAGUGAUGGAAGCGGUAACUUCUUGGUCUCUAACCACCCUUCAUGUGCAUUGCUGAGUCGGUCACACACACAUGGACAGAUUUAGCAUUAAGGCUCCCACUUGCAACUGUGGAAUUGUCUUGGAAUGAAUGAAGAGAAAGACUAAGAUCCUGUGUCGAGCUGUUUGUUCUUGAGAUUAUACAAGAAGAGUAGCUUUGAAAAUUCAUCGAAUUACCAACAGAACUCGUCGGAAAAACGCGAAAGCAUCAUUGUCAAUACUUUAUUGAAUGAAACCUGAAUGAGUAUGGUUCUGCUGCAAAUUAUAACCAGAAGAUUAUGAAUUUUCCGCCUUUAAGUUGUUUCCCGAAUAUAGGUAUCUGUGUAAGAUGUUGUUACAUGAUCAGGCAUUGGCACCAAUACUUGCAUCACAAAAUAUUUGGCAAAAGAUAUCCUCAGCCUUGUCAAGUUUACCAACUUUCACCAAAGAAUCCAAAUAUAUACUGUAUAUGUCACUAUUAGGACGACAUUUCUCUAGGCAUUGAGAGAACGCCUCUUCCAAUUUAUCAUGUGAUUCCAAGUUGAAGUACAUGUUUAAUAAAUAAACAUAUGAUGGUGUAAGGGGCUUCAGACCACUAUUGACAAAUUCUGUCAUGAUUGAUUCUGCAAAUUCGGAUUCUUGUGCUUUGCACAGUAUUUCUAUUAUUUUAUUUUAUGCUGGCACACUUGUCUUACCUAGUUUCAACUGCAUUUCCCUAAAUACCUCCAAGGACUUCAUAGGCACGCCAACCUUAGAGUAGACUUCCAUUUUGUACACAAAAGCCUGUGAUGGGGGGUUACUUUCAAACUGCAAAAGUUUGGACCAAGUUUUCUCUGCUUCCUCCAUUGAUUUUGAACAAAUCAUUGUUCAACUCUACAAAUCAAGCACGGGUAAGUGGCUCAGAGAAAUCAACUCCAUCAAAAAGUGAUUCAAUUUCCACACGGAUCUCGUGCUGGCUACUAGGAGCUUUCUUGGCACGCUCACUCUCCCUUCUCAGCUUUCCAAGCUUUAUUAUGAUCGAAGUUGGCAAUUUCCUCCUUGUAAUUAAAACUUAA